GGUUAAGUGACUAAGCGUACACGGUGGAUGCCUGGGCAGUCAGAGGCGAUGAAGGACGUACUAACUUGCGAUAAGCGCAGAUAAGGCAGUAAGAGCCGUUUGAGUCUGCGAUUUCCGAAUGGGGAAACCCAACUGCAUAAGCAGUUACUGUUAACUGAAUACAUAGGUUAACAGAGCAAACCGGGGGAACUGAAACAUCUAAGUACCCCGAGGAGAAGAAAUCAACCGAGAUUCCGGUAGUAGCGGCGAGCGAACCUGGAUUAGCCCUUAAGCACUCGGUGAAGUAGGUGAACAAGCUGGAAAGCUUGGCGAUACAGGGUGAUAGCCCCGUAACCGACGCUUCAUCGAGCGUGAAAUCGAGUAGGGCGGGACACGUGAUAUCCUGUCUGAAUAUGGGGGGACCAUCCUCCAAGGCUAAAUACUCCUGACUGACCGAUAGUGAACCAGUACCGUGAGGGAAAGGCGAAAAGAACCCCUGUGAGGGGAGUGAAAUAGAACCUGAAACCGUGUACGUACAAGCAGUAGGAGCACCUUCGUGGUGUGACUGCGUACCUUUUGUAUAAUGGGUCAGCGACUUAUAUUCAGUGGCAAGGUUAACCGUAUAGGGGAGCCGUAGCGAAAGCGAGUCUUAACUGGGCGCUUAGUCUCUGGAUAUAGACCCGAAACCGGGUGAUCUAGCCAUGGGCAGGUUGAAGGUUGAGUAACAUCAACUGGAGGACCGAACCGACUAAUGUUGAAAAAUUAGCGGAUGACUUGUGGCUAGGGGUGAAAGGCCAAUCAAACUCGGAGAUAGCUGGUUCUCCCCGAAAGCUAUUUAGGUAGCGCCUCGGACGAAUACUACUGGGGGUAGAGCACUGUUAAGGCUAGGGGGUCAUCCCGACUUACCAACCCUUUGCAAACUCCGAAUACCAGUAAGUACUAUCCGGGAGACACACGGCGGGUGCUAACGUCCGUCGUGGAGAGGGAAACAACCCAGACCGCCAGCUAAGGUCCCAAAGUAUUGCUAAGUGGGAAACGAUGUGGGAAGGCUCAGACAGCUAGGAUGUUGGCUUAGAAGCAGCCAUCAUUUAAAGAAAGCGUAAUAGCUCACUAGUCGAGUCGGCCUGCGCGGAAGAUGUAACGGGGCUAAGCAAUACACCGAAGCUGCGGCAAUAUCUUUUAGAUAUUGGGUAGGGGAGCGUUCUGUAAGCCGUUGAAGGUGAAUCGUAAGGUUUGCUGGAGGUAUCAGAAGUGCGAAUGCUGACAUGAGUAACGACAAAGGGGGUGAAAAACCUCCUCGCCGGAAGACCAAGGGUUCCUGUCCAACGUUAAUCGGGGCAGGGUGAGUCGACCCCUAAGGUGAGGCCGAAAGGCGUAAUCGAUGGGAAACGGGUUAAUAUUCCCGUACUUCUGACUAUUGCGAUGGGGGGACGGAGAAGGCUAGGUGGGCCAGGCGACGGUUGUCCUGGUUCAAGUGCGUAGGCUUGAGAGUUAGGUAAAUCCGGCUCUCUCUAAG
rnacentral:rRNA from 1 species